rnacentral:rRNA from 1 species
GCAAGUCGAACGGAUCCUUCGGGAUUAGUGGCGGACGGGUGAGUAACACGUGGGAACGUGCCUUUUGGUUCGGAACAACUCAGGGAAACUUGAGCUAAUACCGGAUAAGCCUUUCGAGGGAAAGAUUUAUCGCCAUUAGAGCGGCCCGCGUAGGAUUAGCUAGUUGGUGGGGUAAAGGCCCACCAAGGCUACGAUCCUUAGCUGGUCUGAGAGGAUGAUCAGCCACAUUGGGACUGAGACACGGCCCAAACUCCUACGGGAGGCAGCAGUGGGGAAUCUUGCGCAAUGGGCGAAAGCCUGACGCAGCCAUGCCGCGUGAAUGAUGAAGGUCUUAGGAUUGUAAAAUUCUUUCACCGAGGACGAUAAUGACGGUACUCGGAGAAGAAGCCCCGGCUAACUUCGUGCCAGCAGCCGCGGUAAUACGAAGGGGGCUAGCGUUGCUCGGAAUUACUGGGCGUAAAGGGAGCGUAGGCGGAUAGUUUAGUCAGAGGUGAAAGCCCAGGGCUCAACCUUGGAAUUGCCUUUGAUACUGGCUAUCUUGAGUACGGAAGAGGUACGUGGAACUCCGAGUGUAGAGGUGAAAUUCGUAGAUAUUCGGAAGAACACCAGUGGCGAAGGCGACAUACUGGUCCGUUACUGACGCUGAGGCUCGAAAGCGUGGGGAGCAAACAGGAUUAGAUACCCUGGUAGUCCACGCUGUAAACGAUGAGUGCUAGUUGUCGGCAGGCAUGCCUGUCGGUGACGCAGCUAACGCAUUAAGCACUCCGCCUGGGGAGUACGGUCGCAAGAU